rnacentral:lncRNA from 1 species
GAUCCAUGCAUCGGUAAUGCGUCUGCAAUAUUAUUACAUGUCCGAGACCAAUAACCAACGUAUUAAAGUGCAAAACAGCCAGGGCAUUAAUCUUCCUAAACAGAAUGCCAUUAGGCGCAAGAUUGAAACACUUUGGGUUAUUGAGAAUGAUGAGGACAUGACUACCUUGGAUACGAUCAAAAAUAUUGCAUACAUAUAUAUUUAUGAGGUGAUUUCUAAUGCAAACUAUGCAAUAAUUUAUUUAUGUCAUUCAGGACAAAAAUACUUCACAGACUUUUGUGCCAUGUCUAAUUGUAGGUGUAUGGGACAUUUGUUCAAUCCACAUAUCUUUACCUACUAAUAAACCAGCGAUGGAUUCUGGUCGUACGUCGCUGGCCUUUUUGCAAAAAAGUCCUCCCGUUUAUGAGAAAAUAACCCGCAGUCCUAUCUUAAAGGGAUAACGUUUCGUUCCUCCACCACUUAUCCAUUGCUUUUGCCUCCACUUUACCGCCGGUCACGCCCCGCCGCUUGCCGCCGGCAUUGACGCCGCAGAAACCAAGGCAGGGGGAUGCGUUGUGGCGGGCGUCCACGCUGCCCGAGCCCAGGAACGGGGCGAGGCAUCGCGGCGGGGUUGUAGAGCGCGACUGCCGUUGUAGGCGUCGGGCGUGGCGGACCGAGGCGUUGCGGCGGGGCGGCUUCGGCCUGGAGUGCGGGCGCUACCACAACGGUGAACCGGGGGAGAGGCUCCGGCAGUGGAGCCAGGCAUGGCUUGGCGUCGCCAAGAGCAACGAGGUCGCCGCCGCCGGCCUCCGCGCCACGAGCCGGUGGGCGAGCCCGGCAUGCCGGCGCUGGACGCGUGCGCGCUCUGCGCCAAGCGGCUGGCGCGCGACAGCGACGUCUUCAUGUACAGAGGGGACACACCCUUCUGUAGCAAGGAGUGCUGGCACGAGCAGUUGCAGCUCGACGCUGUCUCCGCCAGGCAGGCAGCCCGAAGGCUGCAGAGGUUCUCGGCCGGAGCAGAGUCCGGGCGUGCACACCAUGGGGUGUCCGUCUCGAGCUAACCGGCGAAAGCGCCAUGGUACAUACGGUGCCUGACGAAGAAAUGUUACUCCGCUUGUGCCAAAGAAAUUUGCGUGCACGAAGCCGCUGAUGUGCAGUGAUAAUUGAUCGAGCAGAGCCAGAACGAGGAGACUUGCCUUGCUUGAAGAAGGAAGACGUGGCUCACCGGAGCUGCUCACGGCAGGCCGGCGCUGCAUGUGUCGCUUGUCAAGUGAUUUGGGCAUAAACACAGCAGAAAAGGGGCUGGAUUGGAUUGGAUUUGGGCAUAGGUGACGUUGCAUAGGCGCCGCCACAUCCACGACCACCGGCAGACGAGCAGCACCACCAGAAGACUGCCUCUGCCACAGGCACCACAGCUAGCCCCCGCGCGUGCUGGCCGGCCGCCAGAUCUGGCGAGCAAUCAAGCCACUGCACACCGGCCCCAUUGCCCACAGCCACCCACCGGGAGGGGAUCCACCACCACGGCACGGGACUCCGCCCCGGCCCCCGUGCGCCGACGAGCAGGCGGCCACCGCCCCAGCCGUUGCAGCAAACACGUCGGCGCUGCCAACCAGGAAGUGGCUGGCCAGCAGCCACCGCGGCUGAGGAAUGAGGAUAGGAGAGCAGCGCUUGGGUGGUGUUAGGUGGAUGGAGAAGAGAAGGGCGGGCUGCUUGGGUGGUGAGGUAGCAGGAAGAAGACGGAGGCGGAGCGGCGCCUGAGUGGAUGAGAGAAACGGCGAUGUGUGGAUAGUGGACUGUGGAAGGGGCACCCAGUGGCGAUGAGUGGGGAUUUUGGGUGCCUCGUGCCUUUUUUUAAUCAAAAAUGUAUCGGAAGCUGCUGGAUGCGGACGUGCUCAUCCCGGCCGGCUGGAACGGGACCAGAAUGUGGUGUAGAUGCAAGUACUAGGCAUUCCUGCUGAGAUUGAUAUAGUACUCUCUCCUGUUUUACUUAGUCCACAUAUUAACUUUGGUCAAAGUCAAGAUUUGUAAGUUUUGACUAAGUUUAUAAACAAAAAUAUUAAUAUAUACAAUAAAAAAUCAAUACCACUAGAUUCAUUAUUGAAUGUACUUUCACAUCAUAUAGAUUUGUUAUGACAAAUUUUUAUUUUAUAAACUUGGUCAAACUUUGCAAAGUUUGACUUCAAUCAAACCUAAUAUGCAGACUAAAUAAAAACAGAGAGAGUAUUAACCACACCAAGAUGAGUAGUAAGUACUGUGGUAUUCCUGCUGAUUGAAGUUUGGGAUAGUCUGCUAAAUUGAAUUGUUCAGAGUUAUUUGUGGGUGUAUAUCAAUCAAAGGAUUGGUGUUGUUCAGAUAGAUUCUGGUUUAGUCCAUUGCUGCAGGAUUAAAAAAAAUUGUACAAUUCGUUUUUAGUUCAUAUUUUGCUCAUUUUUCGUUAAAAAACAAAUUUCGAAUUUCAAAAUUUUGAAAUUCAUAAUUAAAAAAUGUACAAUCUCAGUCUUUUUCGUCCGAGAUUUUCCAAAAAAAAAAUCAAAAAUCCAAAAUUCACCAAUUCAUUCAAGGACAGUAAAUUUUUCAAAACAAAACACAAAACCUUGGCUCGAUGCUUGCGUGCUAGCACCUAUUACAAAUUUUUUUAGAGAAAGUGCGGCAACGGUGACCUGUUUCGUCCCACACGCCGGGAGGGAGGAGCUCUUGCCUUUACAACAUUAUUAAUAAAACUAAAAAGGAGACAAACAACAUUCAUAGCUGGAUAAGGAUUAGGCAAUGUUCUACUAAUAUAUAAUAUAUGUACACAGGUUAGGACACACACAGAAAACUCAAAAAAUAUGUUUCAUAUCUGACUUAUAAACUAUACUUUUCAUUACACCUUUUUACACCUUUUGUGGUAUAUAAAUUAUUGAAACGUCACUAAUUUAAUUUAUUGGGUUAGAGCAUGUGCUAUUUUUUUCUUCUCCCGUUGCAACGCACGGGCACUUUUCCUAGUGAAGAUAAGGGGAAAAAAGAAGUUUAUGUGUUGUUUAACAAGUCCUCUCACGUCACUUUUGGGCCAAGAGAAGAUAGAGUCCAAGUCUCUCACGUUCUGAAUUCAGAUUCGGACUGCACAGACAUACCUGACUCAAAACGCCAAUAACUAUUGCAUACGGACUCUGAAUUGGGUGAUUCUUUUUUUUGGAAAGUAGAUUUCGUGCACUUUCCAACACAAUUGGAUUCACCUUCAAAUUCAUCCGGAGCGUUGAGUUAUGGACGAAACAAUCUGACGUUGCACCAGAAUCCGAGUCAAACUACAAGUCCAAAGGUGUUGCAUCACCUUCACUUGGGCCCAUGAGCCUUGUACGACCUAGGGUUGGUUUUAGGCUGCAUUGGGACGUUCUCCCACCUCCUUGGCCGCCACCCCUUGCUCCUAUAUAAGUAGAUCCAUCUAGUAGCUUUUCGCUUGGGAUUUGUUUAGUUAAAAGUUAGCCAUUGCAACUUCGUGUACUUCGUUUGUGUCCAACGACCAGAUCAAGACCGCUUACGGAUCCCCACCUUUAUCAAUACUGCAUAUAUACUCGCAAUAUUCAGAUUGCUUGUAUCAUAUUCUUGCUUGUUCUUCGGUGCUUGCAGGAAUAAACCUUCGUGGUCAGGUUGAUUGUGCUCCGGCGUGGUCAAUAACCUCUCGGAGUUGGUUUAGCGAUUGCUAAGGCGCAACGUCAUGCAUGUUUGUAGUCGGAUCGUCAAAGUCGUCUCCACCAAAUCAAUAGUUAUCAUCUCAUCGAAAGAUCGGGACACCCCGCCUCUACCAAGUGGUAUCAGUUUUCAGGUUGCUUGGUGAGAAUUUCCAGUUAUCCCUAGAUUACAUUUUUUUUCUUACCUAUUGUCCAAGAAAAAGCCACAAAAAAGUUAGAUUUGUUCAUCCUUUGUCCAAGUCAGUCUGAGCCUUUGCAAAUUUUCUUUUCAUUGUUUGCAUUAUUGAAUUAUCGAUUGCAUCGUCGUGUCGAGUUGCUGGUCUUAGUGUCUAGUUCGUUUAGAGUAUCGAGUUCUGUUCACAGUAGUCACGCUGCCACUGCAUCGUUAUCCCUUCCGAUGUCCACCACCCAUCCAUCAAAUUCCACCAUGUGCUACCCAUUGUUCAUUGUCACAAUCAUAAUUGAGGUAAUUCACAUCUUCGCUUGAUCCAAUCUGCAUCUUGUCUGGUUUGUCUUGGAAAGAGGGAGAGAAAAAAAAAGGCAGAGAGAAAAAAAAAGGAAAAAAAGUUAGAGAAAGAAAAAGAAAAAAGUGUGAGGAAAAAAAGAGAGAAGAGAAAAAAAGCAAAAUUCGGAUCUAUCUAGACCCAAUCUCGUAGUUGAAUUCGGAUUGGAAUCUGUUUUGCGCACUGUUUAGUAAAACAGGCAUAACUUCCUCAUACGAAGUCCGUUUUGGCUCCAAGAAUACUCAAAUGAAAGCUAGCGACGAGCCGCAUCUAAAUAGUUACAGAAGCUAGUUAAAUAUUUGGCACCUCAAAAUCAGCUCCUAAAUAGGUCUUUUUGCCCUCCGAAGUUCGCGCAUACAGUUUUUUCCAGUUUUUCAGGCCAGUUUUAGAAUUCUUUGACUCCUCAUAUUAAUUCAGAAUUGAGUGAUUUUUUUGCAUUGGAAAGCUUGAGUUAGUAGCAUUCUUUGAAAAAAGUUAUCAGAAAAUUGGCUCAAACUUUUCAAGAGGAAAGUUGGAGAGAGAGUUGUUGUAUAUCCUGCUUGGCAGUUGUUUUUCAUCAUUAUCUUUACUGCCGUUGUGAUCUUCACUUAUAUCUUGCUAUCCAGAGCUACUUAGUAUUCUUCAUUAAUACUAGUUGUGCUACGCCGUGACCUCAUUAGUGUUCUAGGCUCGCGUCUCUAGUCCGAUCUAGCCUAGGACCAGCACAGUACUGUCGUUGAGCGUUUCUUUAACAUUGCAUAUUUGAAUUGAUUAUUGCUAAUCUUUUGCUACCAUAUACUUAAGCCUUCCAAGCUCCACAUAUUUCUACACCGUGUUUACACAUUUUCUCUUGGCAAUCGCUUUACUCAAUCUUCAGAGUUAUUUGACACCGCUGGUUGCCGAUCACCACCUGCUGCAUGGUAAGAACUUAUAAGAUAUUGAGAUUUGCUAUACUGUGAGCGUUUUACCACCACUUCCAAGUAGUUCAUAGGAACAUUUUUUUGGAUUCUGUUUCUUGUUUCUACUAAUCAUGACAGGAUUCAGAGUCAAUUCAUGGGCUUUGUCGAUCGUGGGAGACGUGCCACCACCUUUGCAAAUACCACAACCGUCACGAAAGGUGCACAAACAUCCAAAUGCACAUGAUCAGGUUAAUGUAUCUAUACCACCAUUUAAUGGCCGUUUUAGACCUGCUUUAUAUAUUGAAUGGGAGUUCGACAUAAAAAAUAUAUUUGCUUCCCAUAAUUUUGAUGAACAUAAAAAUGUUAAGGUUGCGGUUGGUUCUUUCACUGGUUAUGCUUUGGUUUGGUGGAGUGAAUAUUGUCGGUUACACCCUGAUUAUAUACCUACUAUUUGGGAUCAUUUGAAACUUGCCAUGCGACAUACUUUCGUCCCUGCUUAUUAUACUCGUGACAUGAUUAAGAAGUUGCAACAUUUAAAACAAGGUAGUGACACUGUAACAAAAUAUUAUGAUGAUUUACAAACUACCUUGUUGCAUUCCUCUUUAGAAGAAAGUGAAGAUGAUUUUAUGGAUAGAUUUUGGGGAGGAUUAAACCGUGAUAUUCAAGAGAUACUAAUUCACGAAGAGUGUUAUCCUAUGGACCAUUUGUUUCGUCUUGCUUGCAAAGCUGAACAGGAAAUAAAACGACGUGUUGGCCACGAGGAGAACAAGCACACGGUGCACAUUUCAAGAGUUGAUAUGAUUGUUCCUUCAACUACUAGGCAUACUAUGACAACCACAUCCGUUGUUGUGAGGACUACAUCACCUCCACCAUGUGACACAUCGCCACCGAGAGUGGCUACAUCAUCUGAGUUGAACAUAAGAGGUAAUGACAAAGGUAUUGAUCUUCCAUCUCUACACGAGAAUGAUGAAUGCCUUGUCAAUUUGAAUGCACCAUCUGAUGAGCUACCCACUAUUUUGAUCACACCACCUAUUUUAGAGGACUAUGUUGAUAAUUUGAUUUUGCCAUGUGAUCAAACAACUGAAAUACCAACAAUUUUGAGUGCACCCACUAAAUUAACAGUUGAUGCAAAAGAACCAAUGUUUAAUCAUUUUGAUAUGACCUCUAAUCUUGGUGAUGAUUCUGUGUCCAAUGACUUAUUGCAUGUUUGCUUAUUUAAGCAUGUUGUAGAAUGUAAAUUUGAUGCAGGUAAGGUUUAUUCACCAAUGUUGGGAUGGUUUAAUGAUGAACAUUGUCAAUCUUUUGAAAUGAAUAAGAGCUUCACUUAUAUGUGCAAACUGAGUUGCCAUAUUUUAAUGCCUUCUACUUCUUGUGAUAAAUUUUUGGCUUUAGAUUUUAUGAACUAUGAAAGUUACUCAUAUAUACAUGUGUCGUACGUGCAAAAAUCAAGGGAAGUAAAAAUGGAUGACAUAUACAUAUACAACAUGUACACCUUGUUUUUUUUGUUAGCCACAUUUCAGAUUAAGCAACGCCGAGGACAACUUUGUUUUCAAGAAGGGGAGGAUGAUGAUGACAUGACUACCUUGGAUACCGACCAAAAAUAUUGUAUACAUAUAUAUAUAUUUAUGAGGUGAUUUCUAAUGCAAAC